rnacentral:lncRNA from 1 species
AACUGUCACUUACCAUUUUCCACACACACCCUGGCUGAAGACUUUCCCUGAGGAGUUUCUGGAUCAGGUUUGGUAGCCAUUGAUUUAAAAGACAGCGCUCUGGCCUGGGAGCUCAGGGUCUUGGGCUCCUGUCAGGGCUCUGUCAGUGACUUGCUUCAUGACUUUGCUUAUUCCUGAAUGAGGUGAAAUGGGCCAGCAGGUGGGAACUAUGCUGGAAAACUGGGCCCUGUGAAGAGUCAGUGACUUUAAGAAACUCAGACCCCCACUGGGGACCCACACUGAAGGGAUCAGCCAACAUGCAGACCUCAGAUACGCUCAGCGUGUUCCAAGACACAGGCCCCACCCCUGAAGGUGAAUGUGUGGAGAUAACCAGUUACCACAGGGCUCACUAGAAGGGGUCCGGCACAUAGGCAGUUGACAGAACCCGGGAAGUACCAGCUAUUGAAAUGAACUCAAAUUGCCUUAUCUAAAGACUGUGAAAAAAGAAAUGUUCGGGUACAAAGCUUACUGCCAAGGAGUGCUCUGCCACCUCUGCUUGACAGGGACAGAAGGGAUCUUGUUGGCAACACAUUCCCAGGGUUG